GGUGGCUCAGUAAUAGAGUGCUUGCCUUGCAUGCAUGAGGACCUGGGUUCGAUUCCUCAGCACCA
rnacentral:tRNA from 1 species